ensembl:lncRNA LINC01476 long intergenic non-protein coding RNA 1476
CUUUCCAAAGAUGGAUGCAAAUGCUGGGAAAGCAAGAGUUGAAUUGCUAGCCAUGAGGAAAACGUAAGCCUGAGCUGUUUGCUGGCCAUCUUUGCUUCCACAUGGGGAUGGCCUGCCUGGAAAUGAAGCCACACAGAGAAAACAGAAGAGCAGUGAAGAGAAGGGUAAAAGGAGAGAUCCCAUGACAUGAUUUGCACUCUUAGAUCCAGUUAUGCCUGAUGCAGGACCCACCCCUUGGACUUCCCAUUUCCAGGAGCUAAAACUAGACUGAGUUGAGUUUCUGUCACUGACAGUUGACAGAAAAUAUCAACAAUCCAGCCACAUGGAGCCUCAUGGCAGUACCACUAACCCUGGUCACCACAUGAAUACUGACCAGAGGCAUUUCACCUGAAUCAACUGUUUGUGUUCUUAACUCCAUCUCCUCAUCUGCUUCCUGGAAGACCCAACUGACAUAGAUGGUUACAAGAAAUGAUUUCCUCCUUAUAAAACUCUAGAUGUCAAUGUGAUCUUUCACAAGCACACUGAAAAAUUCACACCGUGGAAAAGAACUAAAGUCCCAUCCUAAUUCAUCAGAGCCUUCUGUUUCCUGUAACAAAGAAGAACUCACAAGAUCAGGAUUCCAAGGCCAAAGACUCCAGGGACAGAUUUGGGUUAGAAACCUGGCCUCAGGGAAAAGCAAAUGAAGCCUGUUCAUUCCCCAGAAGAGAAGCAAUAGAGAACUGCUCACCGUGAUGGGCGCACCUCAGCUUUGCUAAUUUAUCGUCCUCAUGAACCGCACCAGCAAGGGGCCUUCUAUGAGGCCGAACUUCCCACUCACCCGAGCCUGUUGGAGACAUGACCCAAGGCUUUGGGGGCUUUCUCGCAGCUUCUGCUUAAAUGGAGGCAAGGAGGGAGCCAGUCCUUUCACCAUGACCUCUAAAUGACUCCAGUGCUGAAGGCUGUGGGGCCUUCGAUCACUCGAAAACUAGGAGACAUAUAUUUUUAGACACAUGCUGUCAUCUGGGCAGCCUUAAGUAGAUGUUUUCUCUGUCUUUCCUCAGAUCUAGUGGGUUUGCAAGAAACCCUCCCAGGGCAGCAGCCUUAGAGGAAGUGCCUGCUAAUGCAAGAAGGAGGGCAAGGGGGACAGCAAGCUGGAGCCUGGAGCUGCUCAUGCGCUUGGAAUCCUCGGCGGGCGCAGGCGGGGAUUUACGGACCUGCCUUUUCCCUCAUCAUUCCGCAGGAAGCUUCUUUAAAUGAGCCUCAGCCCAGCAGCUCUCAUGGGGCCUGGUGUUUAUAGUGGAGACUGAGAUAAAAGAACCGUGGAGAUGCCAGCCCUGGAUAUCGACCCCACGGUCCAGGAAUCAUCAACUGGGCCCGAGGGCAAAUUGUGUUCUGUUUUCUCUGUGCGAAAUGCCAGAAUGCUCCUGCCUCGAAGAGGUUGACUCUGUUGUCAGCUGUGGGAAAAAACAGCCAGAGUUGCUAUUUACACCCUGAACUGCAAGCUGGGUAAAAAUAGCGCUAGCAGCUUGGUCCAGCUUCAAACCCCACUGCAGAGAGAUUAUUUUUGGAAGAGAAGAUUUUCCUCCCCACCCACAGAUCUGAAAAUGGUCACCUCCCCGGAAGAAAGGGGGAGAGAUGAUCCCACGCAAAGGUGAAACCUACCCCCUUCCCACUUUCCCUGCCCAGGACAGCACAUCAAGAGACAGACAAGAAAUGCCCUCCCCUGACAGCAGGUCAGGCCCAGCACAGCCCUGCAGCUGACCUAGUUCAAGGUACAGUGAGAAUUAAUUAACUUUGACUAAGUGAGAGGAGGCAGCUUUCUGAACCUGGAUGCUGCACCAUCCUGUUGCUUGUUAUGGCUAAAGGCAGAAAAAAUAAUUGAUCAAAAGAGUACGCAAGACCCCAAAACAAUAGCUCAGAGCCUGAGGGUCAGGAAAUUACUCUCCAGCCCUCCCACUCCGGAUAGGCCGUGAUACGGCUGUACAAUGAUGAACAAAUUCCCAAAA